CACCGGGGGCGUGUCCUUACAGGUCCAGUGUGUACAGAAAACUAGAGCCUCGGUCACUACCAGAUGUGACAGUCGGGAGAGCAGAGAGCAAGGGAAACAUUACGGUAUCCGUCUAAACGCAUCAGAAUUACUAAAUGUUAUGUGGCAAAUUUUUUCCGUCUUCUCACACUUUACUUGAUUUUAGAACUAUUCAUAACCCGUUACUUAAUUUUAAAAAUCGAAUAUAAAUUUACACCACUGUCUGGAAUUUCUGUUGCUGAAGCAGAGUAUUUUUAUCUGUUAUUGUAAAUGGGAUUAAUGUAUCUUGUAUCUAUGUUUAAUUUACAUUUUUUUUUAACUCGAGUUAAAGGGAAUUACGGUCGUUCACGUCACAGGGUGUAUUAUUUUGCUCACGUGUAAGCAUAUCAGCCAAUCAGAACUCCUAUGAAAAUGACGUAUCAUGAUGCUGCUGGACGCAAGCAUUCGUAUUUUAUUUUGUAUAGUAUUCUACGGUUUGUUUAGCGGUUCACGCCGCAUUUACAAGGCAUUUUAACUUCAUUUACAAUACAAUUGUGUAAUAUGUUGUCUUACAAACCCAUUACAGUAAUCACAACUAGAGACAAAAAAUAUCGAAAUAUUUAAUCAAUUAUUGGCAAUAACAGAAGAUAGAAUUUGUGUUCACUCUAAGCGUAUUCGAUAAUUCGUAGUUCGUUUCCCUCGAUGACAGCUACAGUGAUUUAAGGUCUCUGUAGAAAAGUUUAACGAAGGGAACCACAUUUCGACUGUAAUGAAGUAACAAAACAUUAUUUAUUCAGCGGUGGCCCGGCGCCCUGCCAGGUGUUCUAACGAAACAUUCUACCCAUCGAAAUGAUCUACUUACUGAUACUACGCAUGCGCAGACCAAAAUUACGCAACUUUUCUCGAAGCUUACCAACUGCUUGUCGAUCUGUCCUACCUAGUGUUGAAGUUUGAGCUAUGGAAAAAAAGUGGGAAGAAAUUUAUAACUCACAAAAGGAGGGCUAAUGGAUGUGUUAACCAGUGAGUCUGCCAUGAGAACUGCAAAGAUGGACAUAGCCUGUGCUCUCCUUGAAUACAGAGGUGCAGUGUGAUAUGUGCAGUCGCUGGGCACAUUUUGAAUGUGAAA